rnacentral:rRNA from 1 species
GGGUGAGUAACACGUAUGCAACCUGCCCCUGUCAGGGGGACAACCCGCCGAAAGGCGGGCUAAACCCGCGUACAUGCCACCGGGGCAUCCCGGAGGCAGGAAAGGCUUCGGCCGGACAGGGAUGGGCAUGCGGCGCAUUAGGCAGUAGGCGGGGUAACGGCCCACCUAACCGACGAUGCGUAGGGGUUCUGAGAGGAAGGUCCCCCACACUGGUACUGAGACACGGACCAGACUCCUGCGGGAGGCAGCAGUGAGGAAUAUUGGUCAAUGGUCGGGAGACUGAACCAGCCAAGCCGCGUGAGGGAUGAAGGUACAGAGUAUCGUAAACCUCUUUUGUCAGGGAACAAAGGCGGGGACGUGUCCCCGGAUGAGUGUACCUGAAGAAAAAGCAUCGGCUAACUCCGUGCCAGCAGCCGCGGUAAUACGGAGGAUGCGAGCGUUAUCCGGAUUUAUUGGGUUUAAAGGGUGCGCAGGCGGUCUGUUAAGUCAGCGGUCAAAGCCCGGGGCUCAACCCCGGCCCGCCGUUGAAACUGGCAGUCUCGAGUUGGAGAGAAGUAUGCGGAAUGCGCGGUGUAGCGGUGAAAUGCAUAGAUAUCGCGCAGAACUCCGAUUGCGAAGGCAGCAUGCCGGCUCCACACUGACGCUGAGGCACGAAAGCGUGGGUAUCGAACAGGAUUAGAUACCCUGGUAGUCCACGCAGUAAACGAUG